ensembl:lncRNA
UACGGUUGUAUCCAGGAGGCAUAGGGAGAGACUUUAGUGGAGAAGUAACAAUUACCAACAGCAAUCUACUGAUUAAGAUGAGCUUACUCCAGAAAGUCGCCCAGUGAGUGACAAGGGUUGUUUUUUGCUUACAUAGCAGUGACAUGGCUCCUUGGACUUAUUUAAUCUGUUCUCUGACAAGUGCUUUUAGGGUUCUGAAGUGCUUUCCUCAGAACAUCCCUGUGAGAUGGGUACCGCCGAUCUUAUACCCAUUUUAUAGAUGAGAAAAGUAAGGCUCGUAGGUUAUGUAGCUUACUCAAGAUAACCAAACUGUUUGAUCCCAGAUCUUGAGACUUCAAUUUCCUUAAAUUCCAUUCCAUUUUCAUUUAGUGAAUUGCAGAUUAAGACCAAGCCCAGGGUUUGUUUUUGUUCAGUCAUUUCAGUUAUGUCCAAUUUUCCAUGACCCCAUUUGUGGUUUUCUUGGCAAAGAUACUUGGAGUGGUUUGCUAUUUCCUUUUCCAACUCAUUUUCCAGAUGAGGGAACUCAGGUAAGCAGGGAGAAACGACUUGCCCAGCAUCAUCCAGCCAGUAAGUAUCAGAGACCAAAUUGGAACUCAGAUCUUUCUGACUCUAUAUUCUGUCUACUGCAGUGCCAUCUAAUGGCCCAUCUCAUGCGGUGAGAGGAGAACAUAGCUAGUAGAGUGGGGUCAAAUUUGGGGGAGUGUUCCCUGACUUUUUGUAUACCCCUGCCUGCAAGGAAGUAUAGAGGGACAGUAGAGUGGAGAAGAAAUUUGGAGUUAGAGGACACAGGUUCAAAACUUAGUUUCUCUGUGUGACUAUGGCCAAGUUCCACGACCUCAGAGGGACACUCUCUAGCCCUGUUUUCUUAUCUACCAAAUAGCUGCCCUAGAUAUAUGAUAAUCUCAGGGGCCCCUUCCAACUCUGAUGUUUAUUAGGAUUCAUAGGAAUAUUGAAAAUAAAAAUGAACAGGAACUCCUUGGCAAAGAAAAGCAAGGUUUCUGAGGUGGGAUGAAUGGUAUAUAUUCCCUCAUCUGGUCUGUAUUGACUAUGGAUCCAUGAAUUUGGUCUAUAAUAACAUGGCACAAUGGAGGACAGUGAAGUUUAAAAAAAAAAAAGCUCCCCCUCCCAGUUGUGUGACCUUGGGUAAGUCACUUAACCCCAAUUGCCUCAGGGAAAAAAAAAAAACUUCUACCCCAUAGAGUAACAUGAAAUGGUUCCCUGUUGAGAGGGAAUUUACAGAACUCAAGAAUUUAGAACUCAAAUGAGAGACAUUGAGGAAAAAAAUAAAAAAUAAAAUAAAAUAAAAACCAUUCAAGAAAAAUAAGAUUAUGAAAACAAAAGUUAACCAACUAGAAAAAUACAUACAGAGUCUCAAAGAUGAAAAUGACUCUUUGGAAAUUGAAAUUAGACAAGGGGAAGGCAGUGGAGCUAUGAGAGAAUGAGAAAUAACAAAAUAGGAUAUAAAGAAUGAGAAAAUAGAACAGGAUGUGAUGCAUCCGAAAAAUGUCAGAUCUGGAGAACAGAUCAAGAAGAGAAAAUAUAAGAAUAAUUGGACUGCCUGAAAAUUGUGAUCCCCCCCCCCAAAAAAAGAACCUCAAUAUAACAAUACAAGAAUUAUUCAAGAAAAUUGUCCUGGAGUGAUAAAACAUGAGGGAAAAGUAGAAAUAAAAAAAAAUCCACCCAUCAUCACCUCAACGAGAUCUUUUGUGGAAAACAAUAGGAACAUUAUUGCCAAAUUUCAAAACCCCUAGAUCAAAGAGAAAAUUCUGCAAGAAACAAAAUAAUAUUCAAAUACACUGAAGCUACAGUUAGAAAUAUACAGGAUUUAUCAGUAGCCACAAUAAAAGACCAUAGGUCCCGGACUUGUACCUACCAAGAAUCAAAAGAACUAGGCCUGAGUCCAAAAAUAUCAUGUCCAUCAAAAUCUUCUAUAAUAUUGAAUGUGAAAAAAUAGACAUUCAGUGAACUUGCAGAUUUUCAGGACUUUCUAUCCACUAAAUUCCAAUUUAAUGGAAAAUUUAACAUGUAAAAGCCAAUGUCAAAGAUCAGUCUCAAGGGACUCAAUGUGGCAAAUUGUUUAUGUUUUGUUUUUCCCCCAUGGGAAAUGUAUACCGUAUGUAUAAGAUUGGCAUCAACCAUAGGGCAGCUCCAAAGCAAGAUUGGGGCAGAGUUAAGGUAAAAAUAGUAAUUAUAUCAUUCAGAUGAGGUGCAGAGGAAGAAUAGACACAGAGGCAUUGGAGGGGGAGGAGGGCUUGCAGUUCUGAAAACCUUCUCCUAUUGGGCUUGGGUUAAAUAGGCAACACUAUGUAAAUACUAUGAAGUUCACAGCACCCUCCAAAAUCUAUAAAGAAAUAAGGGAGGAGGGAUGAGUGAAGGGGGAUGCAAAGGGUGAGGGAAGAAGUCAGCGGAGGGAUCCAUGGAUGGGGGGAGGUUAAGUAACAGCAAGCAAGUGGAGGAGUAGAAUUAAAACAAAGAAUCAGCAGGGAGAGGAAAGAUAUGUGUAUGUGUAAGUAUGUAUAUAUGUGUAUAUAUAUAUAUAUAUAUACAUAAAUAUAUCCUUUCUUAAUUAUAGCCUGCUUGGUUGUGCAGGGGAAUGAAAGGAGAAAAAAUAAAGUGAGAAAGUGCACAGCAGAGAACAAAAGAAAAAUUUACAAGGAAGUAAAGGACAGUCAUGAAUAUAAUUUUUCUAUGACUAUAUAGACUUGUUACAUAUUUUGAAUCCUCCCUGAUGUUCUGCUGAGCACAUGACAAUGUUAUCUUUUGUUUUGUUUCAUUUUGUUCUGUAUUCCUUUUCUGCUUUUCUUUGUUCUUAUAUAUAUUUUUAAUAAAACAAAAUUUUAAAAAAAGGAUAUAUGUAGCUAGGUGGCACAAUAAAUAGAGCAUUGGGCCUAGAGGCAGGAAGCUUCAUCUCCCUGAGUGAUCCUGGGCAAGUCAUUUCAUCCCAUUUCCCUGUUUCUCCAUCUGUAAAAUGAGCUGGAGAAGGCAUGGCAAACCACUCCAGUGUCUUUGCCAAGAAAAUCCCACAUGGGGUCGUGAGAGUCAGGCAUGAGUGAAACACAGUUCUGCAGCAAUUAGCGAAAUGCUUAUAGGAGAUAAUAUGUAUGUGUAUGUGUGUGUGAUUAUAGGGACUAAACUUGUGACUUCCCAGCUACAAAGGACUCCCAGAUGAGGAAACUCCUUUGACAAAGGCAGACUGGCAGAAAGCUGCAAGUUAGCUGCUUAGCUGCUUAAGACAGGGAGGUUUAAACAACUUGUCCUGGGUUACACAGUUUAUAUAUACUAUAUAAAAUCUGCUUCCAUGAGAAUAUAUAAGAUAUAUCUAAAAAUAAAUCUAGGAUGAUUUGGGAGGUAGGGAUGAGAAGCUGGAAUGAUUAAGUAGCACUUGAGCUAAGCUUUGAAGGAUACUCAGAAUCCUAAGAGGUAAGGGAGAGGAAAUGAGGAGGCCUGAGUGAAAGAUGGUGGGCAGGGCUUAAAUGAAGGAUUAUGGGUAGGAUUUGAGUGAGGAAUGAUGGGUAGGGCUUGAGUGAAGGAUUAUGGGUAGGCUUCAUGUGAAAGGAUUAUGGGUAGGCCUUGAGUGAGGGAUGAUGGGUAGGCCGGGAGUGAAGGAUGAUGGGUAGGGUUUAAGUGCAAGAUUAUAGGUGGGGCUCAGUGAGGUAAGGCUCAAGUGAAGGAUUAUGGGUAGACUUCAUGUGAAGGAUUAUGGAUAGGCCUUGAGUGAGGGAUGAUGGGUAGGCCCAAGUGAAGGAUGAUGGGUAGGGCUUAAGUGAGGCAUGAUGGGUAGGGCCUGAGUGAGGGGUGAUGUUAUGCCCUGACAUGGCAACCAAUCUGUCUGGCAGUGAAGUCUAAUGAUCCUGGAGAAAUAGACUCAGAGCCAGCCUGAAGGCCUUUAAAUAUCGGAGGAGUUUGCCCUGAAUUUUAGAGUCGUUAGAGAGUCACUGGGGUUUAUUAACAAAAGAGUGACAUGGUGAGUCCCAGGCUUUGGGAUUAUCGCUUUCCCAGUCAUGUGAAACAGGAGUUGGAUCCAGAGAAAAACAUGAGACAAAAAGACCAAUCAAGAGGCUGUGGAGAUAGUCCAGGUAAAAGGACACGAGAAGUGGCUGUGUGAGCCACUGUGAGGGAUGUUGGGCAGGGCCCACGAGAACUGGUGGCUAGGGCUCAGGUGAAGGAUGAUGGGUAGGGCCAGAGUAAGGGAUUAUGGGUAGGGCCCAAGUGAGAUGUGGUGGACAAGCCUUGGCAAAGGUAUGGAUACAGAGUGUGAGAAUGACUCAGGAGGCCAGGAUGACACUUAGAUGACUGUCCCCUCAGUAGCAACAGGGGAUUUAGGAAGAGGAGUGACUGUGUCCAUAGACAAUACCAGCAGCUUUCUGGCACCCCAGGGCAAUCCAUCAACAAGCAUUUAUUAAGUGCCUGCUGUAUUUCAGCUACAAUAACAAAAGCAAAACAGUCUCUGCUUCGAGGAGCUUCCAUUCUAACAGAGAAUAAGCAGGAAUGAUAAUAGCAGAGUAAUGUUAACUCCCACCUCUCUAGCACUUUCUAGUUUAUACACAUGGCUGUCAUUUGGUUCUCCUAACAGCCUUGAAGAGUAGUCGAGGCAGGGAUUAUUGUCUCCAUUUGGAGAAGUUGGGACUUAAACAGAAAUUAUUUUAGCAAGGUAACACAGGGCCCAAGGAGGUGACUUCAGUUCUUCCUUCUCCCUCAUCCCAAUGCGGGGGACCAUAGGGCUUGGAUGACCUUUAUAUAGCCUGCUGGGCCCAGCCCCACGGAGCCAGGUCAUGAGGUUGAAGAGUGGCUACUCCUAGAAUGGGAGAAGACCUCCGAAGCCUUGGUAUUAUUAAAAGCAAAUUUUUAUCUAGUGCGCCACAGUUUACAAAGCACUUUAUGUACGUUUUCUCACUGGUUUCUCAUCGGAGCCCAUUUAAUAGAUGUGUUAACUGAAGGGGAAGGGACUUACUCAAGGUCAUGCUGCUAGGAAAUAGCACAGGUGGGACUCAAGCUUAGCUUUCUUGCCUUCCCUCCCCUUCCAUUUUCUGUGUCUCCAACCACUUCCCAAACACCUCGGGCCAAGCCGAGAGCACCACCUGCAGCUGCCCCCUUGAUUGAGUUGACGUCUGCUUUCUGGAGGUCAGGGCCCGGAGAUCCGAGGCUGGCAAGGCGGUCCGCUGGUCAUCCACUCGGCCCCAGUCCGGGGUUGCUAGGCAAAUGCCUCACUUGGGGUAUUUGACAAACUGACACUCUACCACACGGAGUGUCCGACUCAGCUUGUCAAAUACACGGAGUGUGGCACUGCAGGCCUGCCGUCAGAAGAGAGGCCAGGGAGCUGGAGGCGAGAGGCGAGGGGCAGUCCUGGAGGAGAAAGAGAGACAUAGAGACGGACGGGCAGACAGACAGACGGACACAAAUGGACGGGCAAUCACGGGCAAACUGAGACAGACGGACACAGAUGGACAGCCGGUCACGGAUGGACAGGCAGACACAGACAGGAACGGAAAAAGAGAGAAAGGAGAUGAAGGAGAAGGAGAUGGAGGGGAGGAGAAAGAAAGAACAGGAUCAUAGAAUUGUGGAAACGGACCUCAGAAGUGAUCCAGUCUAACCUCAUUUUACAAAAGGGGAAACUAAGGUAAGCCUCAGUGAGAAAAACUGAAACUAGGGAUGAGGACGUGAUGGAGGGGGGCAUGCAGAGAGAAUAAGAGAGAAUAGGAGUGAGGGAGAAACAGAGAAUGAGAGAAAGAAUCCGAGAGAACAAAAGAGGAGAGAGAGAGAGAGAGAGAGAACAAGAAAGAAAGAGAAUCAGAGAAGAGAGAAAGGGAGUGAGGGAGAGAGUGGGGGUGUAUUUGUGUGUUCUGGCCUGAGUACAGCCUUCCAUUGCUGAAUAGCCAUCUCUCCCCUGAAAGGGGGGCAGCUUUAUAGGUCUUGGGGCCUUGAAUCCUCAGCUCCAUGCCUCAAUGGGCCCCUCUAGACAAUGGAAAGAGUCCUGUGUGAUUGUGCCCCCAUCUUCCAAGACAGCAACCUUGUAAACCCCGCCCUCCGCCCCGAGGUCCCCAGGAAGUUCUGCUCCUUCAGCCCUCCCCAGCCCUUUUCUCAAGGGCUCGGGGAGUCUUCUUGGCACCCCACAGAAUCUGGGAGAUGGAAGAGAUCUUAAAGCUCAUCUAGCCAACCUCUUCCUGUCAUAGUUGGGGAAACCAAGGCCCAGGGAGGGGACUUUUCUAUGGUCUGUGAGUCCGGAGGCAGGGGAUAGGCUACCAUCUGGAAGUGGCCUUGGACAAGUCCCUUCCCCCCAGUUUCCCCAAUUAUAAAACAACCAGGAUUCAAUCCCCCCCUUUGGUUAACCCUUUGGUUAAUUUUCCAAAGUAUUGCCCCCUUCAUGAGCCCCUGGAUACUCUUCACUGCCCUGGGAGGUAGGAGAGAGAAACUGAGAAGGACCAAACCAAGGAGGCAGGGGGAAAGGGCCCAGAGGGAACCCGGGGAGGGCCCCCAAGACAUCCUGUGGUGACUGAGGAGGGGACUUGCUUCUCCAGAGAUUGCCAAGUAGGGUUUGAUGGGGGUGGGGGUGGAGAUGAGGAACUAGAAUGGGGUUCCUCUCAGAUGUUCCGUACUUCCAACUGAUUGUGCCGCUUCCUAGCUCUCUAAAUGUAACAAGGUGCUUGCCACAGUGCUGAAGGACUCUGGGAGGGAGGGAAGGAAAGAAGGAAGGAAGGAAAGCAGAGAAGGGUUGAGACCCCCCCCCCCGGCUUUCCUCUCCGUCCUCCGUUCAGAAACCCAUCUGUCCAGGCCCAUGGAAGGGGAAGAAGGGGGAAGAAGGGAGAAAUUGAAGUCAGUGCUAGGAGGUAGCCUGGGCGCGGGUCGUCAGGAAGGGACCAAUUUCCUCCUCUCUUGCCCUGCCUGACCCUGAAAGCCAGGAGUAAUUCCUGACUACAUAUAGGUGCUGCCACCUACUCAGCCUGCUGCAGAGGGAUGAAUGAAUUGACCUUCGGGGAGCCCUCGCAGUUGUAAGACUCGGCUUCUAAAAUUCGCGUUCAUAUCAUUUUUAGUCUGGAAUGUUAAGCUGGAGGUCUCGCCGUCUGGCCCCCUCCAAUUUCUAUAGGAAAAUAUUGGGGCCCAGAGAAGGGAAAAUGUUUGGCCAGAGCUUCACGGCGUUGGUGGGCUCUGGGAAGCAGGGCUGAUGCGGGAGGAGAUGGGGCUCAGCAGCAGUCCAAGCCACUUUUAAUGGGGGGGGGAGGGCAGGAACCGAUCACCUGGGGCUGACCGAAGAGGCCCCCCCGGGGUGGGGUGGGGGACUGGGCAUCCAGUGGCUGGCAGGGCCACAAGGUCACCGGCUGGAGGCAAGCUAUGGGGACUUGGGGACAUCUGGGGUGGAGGAGAAGGGGCAGGGAGUAAGAGGCCCUGCUCAUCUCCAAAACCGGUGAAGAAGGAGGAGCCUCCAUGACCCUGAAAAGUUCUCAGAGAAGGGGACUCAAGUCCUAGUUCAGGGAGGAGCUGAUUAACAGCAAACCCUGCAAAUAGAAGUGGGGCCUAUCCUCUCUUCUCUCCUACUCCCCACAUUAUUUGGAAACUUGGAAAAUCACUCAGAGCCCAAAGUUACCCUGAAAUUGUCCUUGGACUUCAUGGGCCAUCAAGGCUCUCUUCUGGAAAAUCUGCCCUGCCUCCCUGCACCACCCUGUGCAUAUACUCUCUGGGCUUCCUACUGCCCUUUGACAUGAACUAGGUACUCUGAGUCCCCUCCCUCUAACUCCCUCCCUAUUCUUCCACUCCCUCCCCUGCCUCCCACACUGCCUCUGCCAUUCAGAACCUCCCCAACCUGAGUCUCUGAGCCCUUCAGGGCCCUGCACUCUGUUAUCCAAUCUCAGAGGGCUUUGUAGGUGAUUAUUUCAUAGCUUUUCCCUCCCACAGAGAAUAUCAGUAUUUCCACAAGUCCCUUCUAGGGGCAAUGUUGUGACCUCCAGGGUCACUGGUAGGGUUUCAAGAUAGAAGAGACCUUAGAGAUAAUACAGUCAGCCUCUCUGGGCCUCAGUUUUCCCAUCUGUAAAAUGAGGAGGUUGGACUCAAUGCCAUCUGAGGUCCCUUCCAGCUUGAAAGCUAUGACCCUGUGAUCUAAAACCCUCAUCCCAUAGAGGAAGAAAGUGAGAUUCGUGGAAGCUGUGACUUACCUCAGAUCCCACGGAUAGCAAAUGGCAAAGCAGAAACCCAACCUCUGCUCCCAACUCCAGCGCUCGUCCCAGCCUCACCUUCUGCCAAUUGCCUUGUCUCUAGCACUGGAGUCUGGGGGGCCUCAGUGGGCCGGGCAGGGCGAGGUUUGGUUCCGGUCCCCUGGUAGCUCCCCCUCUGUAGAGGUGGCCACAAGAAGGAGCGGUCCAGGCCAGAGGACUCGGUCUACCUUUUUUAUCCUGUAAUCUCCCACGGGAGCAACCCCAAACAGAAUCCAGGGGGUCAGGUCGGUGGGAAGCAUUGCCUCCUUCCCCGGCUCUCCUUAGACAGAAAGGAGCCAUUCUCUGCCUCUUCCCCUCAUUAUAUCUCUUCCCCUCCCAGCAAACCUUGGGUAGGAUGAAGGCUGAGGAUGAGAGCAGCUCAGGUGGAAUCACAGGACUCAAGGCACCUGGAUCACUUAAUGGCUCCCCAAUAUUGCCCAAAUAACUUCCCCUCUUUGGACUCUCAGUUUUCUCCUGUGUGUAAAAUUAAGAGGUUGGACUGGGUGGCCUCUGAGGUCCCUUCCAGCUCUAGGUCCGGGACUCCAAAGGACAUUCUCUAGAAAAAAGAUUAACCCUCUGCAAUCUCCCAUCCUCUUCCUCUGCCCCAGUCUGGGAGAUGCAGCCAAAUACUGUACCUGGAGUAGUGAGGGAUGAGGAAAGUAGGAGCCGGGGGUAGGGGAUAGCUCACAAGUCGCAAGGAGAAGCUCCGUGGACCAGGGAGAGCCAAGCACUGAGGCAGGAGGCAGGAAGGCUGGGUGUUUUGAAGGGCCUCUGGACUUCUGCAAGAGGAAGCCCAAAGCAGGAAGAUAAGACUGAGGUUAGCCAACGGAAAUCUGGAUGGGUCAUGACAAAACUCCCCAGUUGUGAAAUACCCCUCUUCCCUCUCCCCCCGCCCCGCCCCACUUCCCCCCUGCUCCAAAA